rnacentral:rRNA from 1 species
CCCAGACUCCUACGGGAGGCAGCAGUGGGGAAUAUUGCACAAUGGGGGGAACCCUGAUGCAGCGACGCCGCGUGGGUGAAGGAGUACUUCGGUACGUAAAGCCCUAUCAGCAGGAAAGAAAAUGACGGUGCCUGACUAAGAAGCCCCGGCUAACUACGUGCCAGCAGCCGCGGUAAUACGUAGGGGGCAAGCGUUAUCCGGAUUUACUGGGUGUAAAGGGAGCGUAGACGGCAGUGCAAGUCCGGAGUGAAAGCCCGGGGCUCAACCCUGGGACUGCUCUGGAAACUGUAAAGCUGGAGUGCGGGGGGGGCAGGCGGAAUUCCUGGUGUAGCGGUGAAAUGCGUAGAUAUCAGGAGGAACACCGGCGGCGAAGGCGGCCUGCUGGACCGUAACUGACGUUGAGGCUCGAAAGCGUGGGGAGCAAACAGGAUUAGAUACCCCCGUAGGA